GCGGGUGUAGCUCAGAGGCUAGAGCGCCGGAUUUGGGUCCGGAGGUCGAGGGUUCGAGUCCCUUCAUCCACAUCA
rnacentral:tRNA from 1 species